UAGCGACAGGCUUAACACAUGCAAGUCGAGGGGCAGCACAGGUAGCAAUACCGGGUGGCGACCGGCGCACGGGUGAGUAACGCGUAUGCAACUUGCCUAUCAGAGGGGGAUAACCCGGCGAAAGUCGGACUAAUACCGCAUGAAGCAGGGAUCCCGCAUGGGAAUAUUUGCUAAAGAUUCAUCGCUGAUAGAUAGGCAUGCGUUCCAUUAGGCAGUUGGCGGGGUAACGGCCCACCAAACCGACGAUGGAUAGGGGUUCUGAGAGGAAGGUCCCCCACAUUGGUACUGAGACACGGACCAAACUCCUACGGGAGGCAGCAGUGAGGAAUAUUGGUCAAUGGCCGAGAGGCUGAACCAGCCAAGUCGCGUGAGGGAUGAAGGUUCUAUGGAUCGUAAACCUCUUUUAUAAGGGAAUAAAGUGCGGGACGUGUCCCGUUUUGUAUGUACCUUAUGAAUAAGGAUCGGCUAACUCCGUGCCAGCAGCCGCGGUAAUACGGAGGAUCCGAGCGUUAUCCGGAUUUAUUGGGUUUAAAGGGUGCGUAGGCGGCCUUUUAAGUCAGCGGUGAAAGUCUGUGGCUCAACCAUAGAAUUGCCGUUGAAACUGGGGGGCUUGAGUAUGUUUGAGGCAGGCGGAAUGCGUGGUGUAGCGGUGAAAUGCAUAGAUAUCACGCAGAACCCCGAUUGCGAAGGCAGCCUGCCAAGCCAUUACUGACGCUGAUGCACGAAAGCGUGGGGAUCAAACAGGAUUAGAUACCCUGGUAGUCCACGCAGUAAACGAUGAUCACUAGCUGUUUGCGAUACACUGUAAGCGGCACAGCGAAAGCGUUAAGUGAUCCACCUGGGGAGUACGCCGGCAACGGUGAAACUCAAAGGAAUUGACGGGGGCCCGCACAAGCGGAGGAACAUGUGGUUUAAUUCGAUGAUACGCGAGGAACCUUACCCGGGUUUGAACGCAUUCGGACCGAGGUGGAAACACCUUUUCUAGCAAUAGCCGUUUGCGAGGUGCUGCAUGGUUGUCGUCAGCUCGUGCCGUGAGGUGUCGGCUUAAGUGCCAUAACGAGCGCAACCCUUGCCACUAGUUACUAACAGGUAAAGCUGAGGACUCUGGUGGGACUGCCAGCGUAAGCUGCGAGGAAGGCGGGGAUGACGUCAAAUCAGCACGGCCCUUACAUCCGGGGCGACACACGUGUUACAAUGGCGUGGACAAAGGGAGGCCACCUGGCGACAGGGAGCGAAUCCCCAAACCACGUCUCAGUUCGGAUCGGAGUCUGCAACCCGACUCCGUGAAGCUGGAUUCGCUAGUAAUCGCGCAUCAGCCAUGGCGCGGUGAAUACGUUCCCGGGCCUUGUACACACCGCCCGUCAAGCCAUGGGAGCCGGGGGUACCUGAAGUCCGUAACCGAAAGGAUCGGCCUAGGGUAAAACUGGUGACUGGGGCU
rnacentral:rRNA from 1 species